rnacentral:lncRNA from 1 species
UUUAAUUAGCAAGGUAGCAAUUUGUAUUAUUGUAGCUUGUGGUAUGGGUGAGUGAUAGAUGAGUGAUAAGCUGACUGGGUGAAUAUAGUGUGGAACUGGGCUAUUGAGUGGAUGAUUUGUCAUUAAUCGCUGAGAGAGAAUCAUUGAACAUUCAGUUUGGGAAAGACUUGGUAGAAGUGUAAGAGACUUUGUGGAAGUUCGGGUUAUUGUUUAACCCAGCUUGUGUGGUAUCUGUUGAGACCAACAACGGGAUGAGCAGCGAGGGGCAAUGUUAGAGUUUGACCAGGUGAUUGGGCUGCGGAAUUAUGUGAAGAAGGGACGAGGAAACUGACGUUGAUGUUAAUUCAUGGAAGUUGGGUACAGCUGAAGUGGAAAUUGAAGUUCCACAUGUGGGCUACUUAUUAGCCAUGAUGUUGUGGUGGUGAAUAACAAGUGUAUUGUUAUCGUGCAGCAUCUCGGUGAAUAACAAGUGUAUUGUUAUUGUGCAGCAGAAACAUAUUGUGUAAAUAUGGCUGUAGUAUUUAGAGCUGAUCUGAAAUGGAGGGUGCUAACUAAUGUUAGUACAUAAUUUAGUUAGAACAAUAUAUGUAUAUAAAAGUUGAUCACGAGGAAGUGAAUCAUAAGGAUUGUGGUAUGAACUGAAACAUUUUAUAUUGAACUGUGUGGUUUUAGUAUAUUAUUUUGUGUGUUGUGAUACGUGAUAUUUUUAUAUGAAAUUAUGUGUAAAGUGGUGAUAAUGUAUGUUUAUUAUAUAUGAGAAGUGUGAGUGUUGAGGGAGUGCUGGUGAUUAGUGGUAUGUGAGAGGGAUAUAAUUAGGGUUAGUAAGUAGGAGUGGAGAAUGAAUGUGAUUGUUAUUUGUGUGCUGUAAAUAAAUGUAAUAUAAUUUA